rnacentral:lncRNA from 1 species
AUCUUAAUCAUUAAAAUUUUUAUUGCUAAGUAUACAUUUCAGAGGAAUUCAGUACAUUCAUGUUGUGUAACCACUGUCACCACCUAUCUCCAGAACUCUUUUCAUCUUGUAAAACUGAAUCUCUGUACCUCCUGUAAACAAUAUUGCCUCAUUCUUUCCUCCUCCAGCCCAUAGCAACCACCACUCUACGUUCUCUCUCUAUGGCUUUGACUAUGUUAAGUACUUCACACAAGUGUAAUCAUUUUUUGUGGCUGGCUUAGUAUGUUCUCAAUAUUCACCAUGUUGUAGCAUAUGUCAAAAUUUCCUUUUUAAGGCUGAAUAUUCCAUUAUAUAUAGCAUAUACUAUACCAUAUUUUGCUUAUCCAUUAAUCUGUGGAUGGACACUUGGGUUGUUUCUCCAUUGUAACUGUUACGAAUGAUGCUGCUAAGAGCACGAUAUCUGCUUACAUUUUUCCUUUUUUAAAAGUAGCUAAUAUCUUGGUCCAGGAGCCAAGAUAUUUCCUUAGUUUAAUUUGAUGCUGCUGCUUCUACACAAACAUUUGAUGAUCCAUACUGUAACUUCAGAUUUGACAUCAUUUCUAUUACAACCUGUUUAAAAUCACAAUUUACUUAGAGUAACUAAAUAUUUCAUAGCCCGUCCUUUCCUUAAUAAUCUGUUUUUAUAGUACUGAGGCUUGUCUGUUUUGGUGCAUUUAGAGAAGACUGUUAACAUCUUCAAGUGGUGUUAUGCCAUAAGAAAAUCAUGUUGCUGCUGUAUUAGGAAAUUCUGUUCUUCGCCCUCCGGCUCAUCUUAUCACUUGACUUUAGCCCAGUUCACUUAAAGCUCAUAAUUUAAGAUAUGCUAACCCCUGAGAGUUACUGUUUUUCUCAACUACAAGAAUAAAUCUUGCAGACUUUCAGGAUUCUAUUCAUACUUGACAGGAAAUGAUUGUAAAAAGUUUAAUAAAUCCUUUGGUUUUAGUUGAGUACAGACAGUAGGGGAAAAUGCUUGAAGAGGGGCGGUGAAGGGCUGAGAUAAGGUAUUCACAUGCU